CCUAUCGGCGUCCCAGAUAGGUCCACUUAAUCCCUGCAGGUCCACUUAUACCUCACCGGCGUACCGAAUGAGUCCACUUAAUCCCUACCGACGUCCCAGAUAGGUCCACUUAUACCUCAUCGGCGAACCGGAUGAGUCCACUUGCAUACUUAAAUUAUUUCUAAAUCUCUUUAAACAUUCGAAAGCAGCAAUAUCAUGUACUC
rnacentral:lncRNA from 1 species